UUUCCGGUGCAUUAUUUCAAGAACGUGAAGGAAAGCAAAUGAUCGUUUAGUACGAAAAAACAACAACACAUCUCUCUUUUAGCAAAAUUAAAUUUGGUCUGAAAAAUGAAGUGUUUUACAAGACUGUGAGGUGUCCCUGACAAUAAAGAACUUAGUCUCGUCAAAACCAUGCGCCAUCUGAGACAUGAGGCUCUCCCUGAUUGUUCCCACGAGGACACCAAGCACUGCUAACGUUCCACUGGCGUAAAAUGGAGAUUAAGGAAAAAGAAGAGAGCGGGAACUCCUCGUGGAAUCGUGGGAACAUAUUCAACUCCACGACAAAGAGUUAAGGACCACUACUAGCGUCAGGCUCUUA
rnacentral:sRNA from 1 species